rnacentral:rRNA from 1 species
UACGAAGGGGGCUAGCGUUGCUCGGAAUGACUGGGCGUAAAGGGCGCGUAGGCGGUUCGUACAGUCAGACGUGAAAUUCCCGGGCUCAACCUGGGGGCUGCGUUUGAUACGUACGGGCUUGAGUUCGGAAGAGGGUAGUGGAAUUCCCAGUGUAGAGGUGAAAUUCGUAGAUAUUGGGAAGAACACCGGUGGCGAAGGCGGCUACCUGGUCCGAUACUGACGCUGAGGCGCGAAAGCGUGGGGAGCAAACAGG